ensembl:snoRNA small nucleolar RNA U54
GUGCGAUGAGGAUAAAAACUUUUUAUCUUUGAUAAAACGUGAUGACCAAAAAUACGCUAUUCUGAGCAAUGC